rnacentral:rRNA from 1 species
UACGUAGGGGGCUAGCGUUGUCCGGAAUCAUUGGGCGUAAAGAGCGUGUAGGCGGCCCGGUAAGUCCGCUGUAAAAGUCAAAGGCUCAACCUUUGAAUGUCAGUGGAUACUGCCGGGCUAGAGUCCGGAAGAGGCGAGUGGAACUCCUGGUGUAGCGGUGGAAUGCGCAGAUAUCAGGAGGAACACCGGUGGCGAAGGCGGGUCUCUGGGCCGUAACUGACGCUGAGGAGCGAAAGCGUGGGGAGCGAACAGG